AUUGAACGCUGGCGGCAUGCCUUACACAUGCAAGUCGAACGGCAGCACGGGUGCUUGCACCUGGUGGCGAGUGGCGAACGGGUGAGUAAUACAUCGGAACAUGUCCUGUAGUGGGGGAUAGCCCGGCGAAAGCCGGAUUAAUACCGCAUACGAUCUACGGAGGAAAGCGGGGGACCUUCGGGCCUCGCGCUAUAGGGUUGGCCGAUGGCUGAUUAGCUAGUUGGUGGGGUAAAGGCCUACCAAGGCGACGAGCAGUAGCUGGUCUGAGAGGGCGACCAGCCACACUGGGACUGAGACACGGCCCAGACUCCUACGGGAGGCAGCAGUGGGGAAUUUUGGACAAUGGGCGAAAGCCUGAUCCAGCAAUGCCGCGUGUGUGAAGAAGGCCUUCGGGUUGUAAAGCACUUUUGUCCGGAAAGAAAUCCUUGGCCCUAAUACGGUCGGGGGAUGACGGUACCGGAAGAAUAAGCACCGGCUAACUACGUG
rnacentral:rRNA from 1 species